GCCUGGGUGGCUCAGUCGGUUAAGCAUCUGACUUUAGCUCAGGUCAUGAUCUCAUGGUUCGUGGGUUCGAGCCCCACGUUGGGGCU
rnacentral:tRNA from 1 species